AUGUUGCUAUGUCAAAUGUUCUCGGAACUCACAGAUCCAACUAAGUCAUGAAGCCCUAGGAAACGGGGACUGUAGUCUCUCAGGAUGAUGUACUGGCCUAAGCAGAACAAGUUUCUUUUGACACUGCUUCUUGUUCACACCUUUCCCGUGCCCUGUUUUCUUUAGACGCUGACUCCUGCUGUCUACCAGAUCCUCGUGGUACAAUGACUGGUGUAGACUGGCUUGUUGAAGUCACUCUCUGGAUCUGAGCAACGCUGGCUGAGCCGUGAUGAAGUAUUCCUAUCCAUCCACUAUGCUUCACAGUGGGAAUCUCUCACUGUUCAUCACCGCUGCCCUAGCAGCCGCAGGGAUUCUUCACCCAUGGUUGCUUAGGUUUAUAAGCAAGGAAGCUGAAUGAAGUCCCUUUCCUCUCUGGAUGAGCCCCUGGGUUUCUGGAAGAGUCUUAAAAUCACCCCUAAAUGGCUUCCAAGCACUGAAGCCCGAGAUGUUAGCUGGCCUGUGUGAGGCCUUGAGACAGAAUGCCACAGCCACACCCCAAGGAUGCUGAAGGGGAUUUCCCUCCUCUGUGGUUUUUCUCCUUUCUUCCCGCAGCACUCCUCCUACGUGCUAACAUCUUCUAGUCAAACAACUCUCCUUUUCAAAGGGACCAGGCACAGUUUCUGCUUAUCCCUGAGUAGCAGUGUUCAGUUUCCUGCCAGCCUGUGGAGUUUUUCAAACAAGCCAAUCACCUCCUCCUGUGGGAACUGAGAAGCACCCCACCCUCUCGAUACUACAAAGCCCCUGCUUGUUCCCUAGUGCAACUCCCAUGUGGUCCUGUGGAGCAUAUGGUAUCUUCCUCUUCUGGGCAGUGAGCAUAUGUGACUAAUAAACUAUCUAUCUCAUCUGUUCAGUGCCAGGUGUCAUUUGUUCUGCCAUCCCAUGACCUAGGGUGGGGAUUCCUUCCACACCAACAGGGUGAAUGCAAGGUGAUUAAAACAAGAAGCCUCUUCAGGAUCUAUAUCCUAGGGAAAAAAUUAAACAACAACAACAAAACAAGAAGCUUCAACUCUGACCCUGUAUUCCAGAUGUGUUACAGGGGCCUGUCUCCCCAGAGCCACUCUCCAGGUCAGAGCUUACCUCCCCUUGCUCAGGGUUAGGAGCUCUGGGCAGGAAAAGGACAUCAUGUUAAAA
rnacentral:lncRNA from 1 species